rnacentral:rRNA from 1 species
AGCGAACGCUGGCGGCAGGCCUAAUACAUGCAAGUCGAACGAUCACUUCGGUGGUAGUGGCGCACGGGUGCGUAACGCGUGGGAAUCUGCCCUUGGGUUCGGAAUAACGUCGGGAAACUGACGCUAAUACCGGGUGAUGACGUAAGUCCAAAGAUUUAUCGCCCAGGGAUGAGCCCGCGUAGGAUUAGCUAGUUGGUGGGGUAAAGGCCUACCAAGGCGACGAUCCUUAGCUGGUCUGAGAGGAUGAUCAGCCACACUGGGACUGGGACACGGCCCAGACUCCUACGGGAGGCAGCAGUAGGGAAUAUUGGACAAUGGGGGCAACCCUGAUCCAGCAAUGCCGCGUGAGUGAUGAAGGCCUUAGGGUUGUAAAGCUCUUUUACCCGGGAUGAUAAUGACAGUACCGGGAGAAUAAGCCCCGGCUAACUCCGUGCCAGCCGCCGCCGUAA